UGAGUCAGGACUUGUUUAAGUGAUUUCUUGAUUGUGAGCAGGCGUGGCAGUAAUCAGACAUGCAGUUUGUCUGUUUAUUUUUCUCAUAUGGGGCGGUGUGCUGUUCAAACUUGAGGGAAACUUGAUCACAUGUUUUACUACAACGUAACACAGCGUACUACACACAUGAUGUUCAUCAUGAUCAGAGCUGCCAGUAUUAUAUGGGUUUUAAUGAUAUGUCCUGGAGGUUUUUCUCAGAGUAAUCGUGUUAAACAGAAUCCUCCUGAUCUCUUUGGCAACCAUCAACAAUCUGUUAAAAUCCAGUGUGAGCACAGUGUACCAAGUUAUAAUCAGAUCAACUGGUACAGACAAGACCAGGGACUGACCUUUAUUGGAUAUCAAGUGGGAAAAUCAUCAACACAAAUUGAAAAUGAUUUUAAGGCUAAAGUGGAGAUUGUUGCUGUUGGAAGCAAAAACCUCUCUUUGACCAUCAAAAAUCUUUUAACCAAUGACAGUGCAGUGUACUUCUGUGCUGCUUAUUACACAGUGCUGCAUAUCUGCUUUAUUCAGUACAAAAACCUCUGUGUAAAUAUUCUCAGUAUCUCAUUAACACCUGCUCCUGUGGCCUGGAAUUGACACAUUGCCAGUGUUUUUAACAGAAAAGCCACAUUUACAUGAUUACAGACAAUUAUACUAUUGGUAUUAAAUCUUAUCUAUAAACGGUUCUAUAAACUUCAAA